rnacentral:pre_miRNA from 13 species
CUGGGUAGAGGUAGUAGGUUGCAUAGUUUGAGGGCAGGGAUUUUGCCCCAAAGGAGAUAACUAUACAACCUGCUGCCUUUCCUGG